GAAGAAAAUGGGUGAGGGAAAAAAUAACGCUGUUUGGGUUGGGUGGAUUACAAGCACAGAGAACCUUUAGCAGAGAAAUGAAUGGGAGAAAUUGGAACCGCCAACGGUCAGCAGAUGUAGAAAGAAAGUCCCGCCUCCCGCAAUGGCGGCUCGUGGAGCCUCUCAAUAGUUCCCGGAAGUAGCAGCAAACACAUGCCGCGCCGUAGAGAUGAAGCAGAACAAACCGUUUGCGACGCACUUUUAAAAGAUUGCUCCUGCUGACUUGAGCAACCAUUUUUUUCUCCUCUCCAUGUCAGUGUGGGGAAGCCAUACAUUCGCACACCUUUCUCUGAGCGAUUGGAGCAUCCCUAUGCAGCACAGCAAACCAUGGUGAAGACUAUGCAACGACAACAUGAAAGAAAGGACACAUACAAAAUGCUUGGCAUGCUAUUUAAUUUAUUAGAAAUGUAUUCAUGAAUUGCUGUAAAUAGUUAUUGCGUUUAUUUGAAUAAAAAUACAAAAAAAAAGUAAUAUCGUAAUGUUAUUACAAUUUAAAAUAACUGUUUUCUAUUUUAAAAUGUAAUUUACUCCUGUG